GGGGGAGCAGGAGGCUUUGAGGGACGCAGCCCUUGGCUGAGGAAGGCGGUGAAGGGAAACAGGGAUCUGGACGCUGACCGUGGGGCAGCCGUGCCGCUGUCGUCCGCGGGGACGUGGUCCAGGGCGAAGAGGCUGAAGCGGCGGUCGUGCUGGCGAAGGCAGGACAGCGGGGCGGAGGCCAGCCUCCUGGCCACACCGAGUCAGCGGAUGGGGGUCGGGGAAGGUGGUCCAGGGAUCCAACGUGAGUUGACUGCAGAUUCCUGGUGAAGAGUGACGUCCGCUGGGGAAGGCCAGUAAUCAGUCUGAGGACACAGCUGCUCUGAUCGAGGGCAGUGGGGGGCGCCCGAGAGCUUCCGGCCCUGACCCUGGAGCGCCCAGGUGGAAAGAUCCAGGCGUGGCAGACGGGGCCCCAGCUGGUGGGGAGGUCUGGCAGGAGGGAGGGUCUCCUGGGCCUCUGUGCGCUGGGCAAGUCCCCACCUCUCAGGUCCCUCUUUUGCCAGAUGGAGGCUCUGUGGCCCCUGCCUCUCCAGAGGGACAGGGACGGGAAACGGGAAGGAGACACCACUUGUGGGAAGGCUUGGGACACGUGGGAAACCCCGGCCGUAAAUCAGCCUUCGUCCCCACUGGCAUCCUUUUCCCACUCCUGGACGCCUCACCUUAUUCACGUCCGACUCAAGGUCACCGGAGACUAAAGAGCUGGGCUGCAAGGAGAGCUCAGGCUCGGUCCAUCCCUCCUCACUAGCCAGGCAGGCGCAUGUGCACACGUGCACACACAGAACCCCGGGCCCGCCCCCUGCCCCUUGCCACUGCCCAUUGGAUGGAGCCCUUGGGGGAAGUUCCUGGACAUCGGGACGAAGCAGAGCAGAAAUGAAAUAACCACCAGAUUUGCAGCAUGUUACCUGUUUUUAUUAAAAAUCAAUGACACGAUA
rnacentral:lncRNA from 1 species